rnacentral:rRNA from 1 species
UACGGAGGGUGCAAGCGUUAUCCGGAUUCACUGGGCUUAAAGGGAGCGUAGGUGGGUUGGUAAGUCAGUGGUGAAAUCUCCGGGCUUAACUCGGAAACUGCCGUUGAUACUAUCAUUCUUGAAUAUUGUGGAGGUAAGCGGAAUAUGUCAUGUAGCGGUGAAAUGCUUAGAUAUGACAUAGAACACCAAUAGCGAAGGCAGCUUGCUACACAAUUAUUGACACUGAGGCUCGAAAGCGUGGGGAUCAAACAGG